GAAGGGUCCAAUGACCAAAGGGAUAUCACUCGAGCAGUCGAACAGGACAACCCGGAACUGAAAGAAACGCAAAACGAACUUGCAGGACCCAAAAAAGGAACAGACGAGCGAAGAA
rnacentral:ribozyme from 1 species